rnacentral:rRNA from 1 species
GAUGAUGGCUCUGAUUGAACGCUAUCCAAAUGCUUGACACAUGCUAAUCGUACGUCAUCAUGUGUACUUUUUACUCGUCAGAAUAUAAAGUAUUCAUAGGAUGAAGUGGUGUACAGGUGAGUAGAUAAUUUGUCUGCCUUAGAGUAAGGCAUAAAAAUCCCUUAUAAUCUAUUUUUACUUAGAGAAAAUCUAUUUCUAUAUAGAGAUAACCUUGAAGGUGAAUUGAACAAAAGAAGAAAUUCGCUCUAAGAUGUCAUUUAAUUAUAUCGAGUAAGUAGUAGGUAAGGUAAUUGCUCAACUAGCUUAAACUCGUAGUCGUAACUGAGAGGUUGAUCGACCACAUUGGGUCUGAAAAAACCCCAAUACGUAUUGUACAGCAGUGAGGAAUAUUGGUCAAUAGUCUAACGACUGAACCAGCAACUUGGAGGAACACGCAUGGCUACCUUCUAAAGUAAGAUUUUGUCUUCUUGGAACAUGCACUGGAUACUUUAAUGUAUAUAUAGUUCUAGAUAGAUAAAUGAUAAAUGACAACUUUCUAUCUAUGUUGUCUUGACCAAAUCUUGUGCCAGCAGUCGCGGUAAUACAAGGGAGACUAGUGUUAUUCAUCUUUAUUAGGUUUAAAGGGUACCUAGACGGUGUAUCUAGCCUGCGAGGGAACGGAUACGACUAGAGUUUUAUGUGGGAGGUAAAUAUCGUACUAUGUGUGUAGAGAUAAAAUUCUUUGAUAAUACGUAGGACUGGUAAUGGUGAAAGCAAUCCUCUAUGUAAAAACUGACGUUGAGGGACGAAGGCUUGGAUAGCAAACAGGAUUAGAUACCCUAGUAGUCCUUGCAGAAAAUGAUGAAUGCCAUAAGUUAGAUACUAAAAAGGAAGGAUAAGACUUUGUAUUGUGAGACUACCUUCUCUUUUUUUGGCUUAUAAAUGAAAGUGUAAGCAUUCCACCUCAAGAGUAAUGUGGCAACGCAGAAACUGAAAUCAUUAGACCGUUUCUGAAACCAGUAGUGAAGUAUGUUAUUUAAUUCGAUGAUCCGC